rnacentral:misc_RNA from 1 species
AACCCUUGUGGAGGAGGACGCCGAAGGUGGGGCUAAUGACUGGGGUGAAGUCGUAACAAGGUAGCCGUACCGGAAGGUGCGGCUGGAUCACCUCCUAACAGGGAGACAACAAAAUGUUUAAUAUUAUUAUUUUGUCACCUUAGGUCGAUCGGUAUCUCACAUUCUUAAUUUAUUAAGGAUUUCAUUUCCUAAGUUUUUUCUAGGUCACACCCAUUAUUUUUCCUGGGCCAUUAGCUCAGGUGGUUAGAGCGCACCCCUGAUAAGGGUGAGGUCCCUGGUUCAAGUCCAGGAUGGCCCAUAUCUCUAUGUUGGGGGUAUAGCUCAGUUGGUAGAGCGCCUGCUUUGCAAGCAGGAUGUCAGCGGUUCGAGUCCGCUUACCUCCACUGAUUACCACCUCUUACAUAAUCUGAUAAAGGAAAUGUUUUGAGUUGUGAUCAAAUUCUGAACGAUUCUAGCUUCCUAAUGAAAUCAUUAAGAUGCUGGAUUCAUUGAAUUAAUUUCAUUGUUUUCAGAGAACCUUGACAACUGCAUAGAUUAUUUUUAAAGACAAUAAGCAUCUUUAAUGAUGCAGAUUUAUUAUUUGUGCGAAUGCAUUAAAUAACAAUUCUAUUAAGCUGAUGCUUCAAUUAUUGAAGUUAUUGGUCAAGCUACAAAGGGCUCACGGAGGAUACCUAGGCACACAGAGGC